CGUUGACCUUUGUUGGCAAAGUUGACCUCUCUUGUGUCCUGUUGUUGCUCUUCCUGUCAGGCCCAGAUGGAGACGGCAUUUCACCCACUGAACCCUGAGAAAGCAUUCAGAGGAUGACAUGUUUUUCUCCUGUUUCUUUACCUGAUGUAGUUCUUGAUGCCUUUUGGCCAUUUGCUUUGAGCAGUGAUUUUCCAAUGUCCUGUCUGCUCAAGAAAGAGGAGAAGAAGCUAAAGAUUAAAUAAUGAAACUGUCUUCAAGUUUUAAACUUGAAACAGACUUUACAUUUCUUGAUAGGCAGUGAGAAGUUUCAGGCACUCAAGUGUUUUUCUCUGUAAGUCAUUCACCUCCUGACUGUUUCUCUCUCUAACUUCAUCAGCAUCCAGCUGAGAUUCAGAUUGUUCCACCGAUUCUCCCCGCAGGCCCAGCAGAAAGGCUUGUUUUUGAAAAGAGAAGAAGAAUAACAGUCUGUACACCUUUCCAUCCUUCCACUUAUCCAUCCAUCAUCCAGAGAUGUUUUCUCUUUAAAUAUCUGUUGAACCUCAGGUUUCACACACUGAACACGACAAAACACGUGCUGACAAGAUCUUCUGACUUACACACGUACAGGUGUUUGUUGAGGAAAGUUUGGGUUUUCUGGCUGAACACUCCCUGCAGUUGCAACAGUUCCCACUAGAUGGUGGCAGAACCAUUUGAAGAUAUCAAGUUUUCCAGGGACAUACGAUGGAACAACUGAUUGCAAUUAAGCAGAGCUUGACCGUUGUCCAAACGGUGUUCCAGGUCUGCGACAUGAUUCUUGGCCUUCAGAAAACUCCAUGAAUGGAAAGAUGAAUCCUUCCUCAGAUCAGGGACAAUGUGGUCAUUCCCCUUUUACAACAUAGCAUACAGGCUCUAUGGCAUAAAGCCCAUCCUCAGAUUCAGCUGCUCCGUGGAGAUUCCUUCUGAGGAGCUCCUUAACUCUGACACCCUGCUGCCAUUUUCCACAGUCUGAGGAGAACCAGGAAGCAGCCGGCAGGAUACAUGCCUGCCCUGGCCACUGGAGCCGGCCACAAGCCAGACAUUCCCAUGUUGGGUGAUUUUGCUAUGAUGGUGGAGAGCACUGUCUAAAACGUCCAUCCAGUAUCUACUAAAGCUGCUGACUUUUUGUAAAAAUAACAAAAAGACCUGAAAGAAGAGGCAGCUUACCAAAAAACUGCUGAUAGAAUCCAAGGAAACAAGGAGCCAAUAUGAGAACUCAGGUAGGAGACAGAAAUAUGAGGGAGAAAAACCAUGGUAAAUUCACAGGGAGAAGGAUAACAAGGCACAGGAGAACUCAUACAAGACAAUAAUGACAAGGUUGGGGUAAUGGGGACAAAGAUGGGAAGUAAACUAAACGCCAUGAGAGGACCUAAAUUUUAAAAUGAAAGAGGAAGCAAAGUGAGCAGAUAAAAAGCUACCAAAGUAACACAUAGAUGGCACAGAUGAAAUAAAUUUAGUCUGGCUCCUUAUGCUCAGUGUUUCUCUGUGUUUGCCUCCUGUGUUUGGUAUUUGGCUUUCUCUCUUCUGUGCAGAAGUACUGGUGUGGACAAGCUGGAGAGAUUGUUGGAAGAGAAAUGUGGAGAGGAAAAUAUGUGGAGUUACUUGUUUGCCUGGCCUUGGGCCUUACAAAGCAAAACCUUUGCUCAAAACCAGAGAACUUCUUUGUUGUAAAUAAAUCUGUAAACUUUUAUUCAGAGUCCUGUAUUUGAGUCUGCCUUUGUUCUUUGGCUAUGAGAGAAUGACCAGGACAGCCAAUUAACUCAAUGGACUCAGAUCAUGUACAAUGCACCCUCACAAUUUCAAGGAGCAUGUUCAGAAGGGUGAGCAGGAUCAGGUGUUACACCACAUCUCUGGUCAACAGGAUGUUCUAUUCCAGUAAGUGACAAAGUUGUGAGGUCUAUGGCGUGUCCUAUGCUCACAAUCUUAGUCAGCUCUCUACUCUCUCCUUCCUCUAAAGUCACAAUCUCAGCCUAAAACUCCUCCACCACCACUGCCGCCACUGCUGCCACCAUCAGAGCUUCUGGAGAGAGCUCUGGCAACACCAGAGGUCUUCUCUGGUGAGUUAAAGAUAUGCAGGGUUCCUGACCCAGUGCUUUCCGGUCUUCAAACUACAAAGUCAAACUUAUUCUUCAGAUAACUUUAAAACUGCUUAUCUUGUGAAAUUGUUGUGGAGAUGGGCUUGAGGUGGGCACAAGCAAUUCUCAAGGCAAAUGCAGAUCUUUCAUAUGUUGACUAUCUGGCUAAAUUUAAAAGUGUGUUGUAUAAGAGAUCCAACCCUGAUGCAGUCACUCAUAGGUACUUCCCAACAUAAGUAAGUUGGGAAGAAAAGGUACCCAAGGCACCUUUCUAUAUGGUUUAUAGGGGUUUAUCAAUAUGGUAUAUGGUGACUACCUGAGAAGUGAAUUAGCAG